CAUGGCUUGCUCAGCCUGCUUUCUUAUAGAACCCAGGACUUCUAGCCCAGGGGUGGCUCUACCCACGAUGGGCUAGCUCCUCCUCCAUCAAUCACGAACCAAGAAAUGUCCUAUAGGCUUGCCUGUAUCCUUAUCUUAAGGAGAUAUUUUCUUAAUUGAGGUCCCCUCCUCUCAUAUGGCUUUAGCUUGUGUCAGGUUAAUUUAAACUAUCCAGCACAGUAUCCCAUAAUAGAAAGUUAAAUGAAAGCUGAAGACGUAGCUUAGUGAUACAGCCUUCUCCUAGCAUGUACAAGGUUCUGGCUGUAAUAUCCAGAAUUGGGGUGUGGGGCAGGUUCCUGGAGCUGUACUUUCUGGUUCCAAAUCCUGGUAUCAACAAGUGUCAUUCAUCUGUAACUAAGUAUCGUAUAUGAUUCCCAGGGAACAGGGUUGUUAUGAGUAUUGGCCAAGAUGGUGUCUUGGAAUGGAUGACAGUCUGACAGAAGACAGUAAGAGCUGACAAACGGACAUUCGCCGAGGUGACAUUAGAGGGUCUGCGUUCCAGGACUGAGUAAGAGUGGAGAGGGAGGGAGGGCACGGGCAGCUGCUAGAUUUCUGCAUCAGAUGGCAGGGUUUUCUGCAUCUUCUGUCCACAUGCAGAGGAGCACAAGGGACCAGGGAAGAAGUAAAUGACACUGAGGGGUGAUAUAUACGAUUUUGGACACAUGAAGCCAAGGAAAUAUAUGUUUGAAAGGGCUUACCAUGAAGGGACCCAAUGGAAGAACAAGAAAGAAGACAGGACUGAACUCUGGCCAAACCUCAGAGGGAGGGAGUGAGGGGCAGAAGAGAAUCUACAAAGGGUAUUGAGUGCUGAGGAAACAGGGAAGUGCGGCCACACACCUCUGGUGGGCUGUGAAGCCAUGAUAUUGAAGGGGAGUACUUCAAAAGACAGGAGGAGGAGGGAGAGGAGGAGGGGGAGGGGAGGAAGGGGAGGAGGGAGAAACAUGUUAGGGAAGACCUUGAUGGUAAGAUUUGAAAAUUCAUGGCAGAUGUCACUGCAGAACCAGGCAAAGACCUUUAAGUGACAGUAGCAUGUAGAUGCCAUCGUGAAAGGCCAGAAAGGUUAGGGUGCCACAACUAGGGUGUAACUGGAGAAGCAGAAUCAGAAACUAAAGGGUAGUCAGUAAUGGGGGUGGCAGCUAGAAACACAUGAUGGGGAGGGAGACUGUUUUACAGGUGAUGUCAGUUACCUUUUAUUUUAAAAAUGUGGCAAUUAGCAAAAGGAAACAGCAAACAGAGGACGGAGGAAGGAAGGAAAGGAGGGAGGGAGGGAGGGAGGAAGGAAGGAGGAAGUUCAGUUCAUGCCAAUUUCAAGUGAACAUUGACAACUGCAUUACAGUUACUCCAGAAACUGCAAUGGUCAGAGUAACUCUUUUGUAUGUAAAAUACUAACCCAGAAGCCUACAUUUAUUUUUGACACAGAAUAGGAUGAACUUGUAGCUGCUAAAAGCUCAUUUGUGCUGAGGUCUUGGGACUACUCCUUUGGGUUUGAACUUUGUGUCUGCCUGGCUUGGUUGUACAGACCUGUAAUUUCAGCACUUGGCAGGUGGAGGCCGGAGGAUCAGCAGCUCACGGCUGUCCUCAGGAGGAUCAGAAGCUCACGGCUGUCCUCAGCUACACACUAAGUUACAGGCCAGCCUGGGCUACUCAAGAUCCUGUUCCCAACAACAUCAAGAAGUGUUUAAAGACUAGACAUACCCGAAGUUGAGAUUUCAAAACAAACGAUGGUUUUCUGAGAGAUUACGUCCUUCAUUCUUCCCUAGAAAUUGUUUCUGUUAGCAAACGUCAUGUCCAGCUGAGGCUCAAAGGGCACGAAGGCUGGAGAGAGAGUCUGGCUACAGAUCUGACUGGCAGCUCCAUCAGCCACCCCUCUCCGGAUUGAUUGAGCUGCAUUUAAGGACGGCUUUUGGUUUUCAAGCUUUUUGUUUACAUUAAAAAGUUGGGUGUGCAAGCAAAGGUCUGCUGUUCCCUCCAGCUCGGGACUGUAAUCCAGGCAUAUCAUCACCGUGUUACAGGGCUGUAUGAGCGAUGGUCAGGUUCGGCUACCGUGUGCUUCUCUGGGGCAGCCUGACUCUAGGGGUUGUGGGGUUUAUUUAUUUGCAAUAGAAGAUUUAAGUUCUGACUGGGGAACCUUUGAUUGUUGUGACUAAUAAAACUCUGCUUUUCAUUGGAAAAGCCUGUAUUCUGGAUAUGUGGAAUACACCCGUAGCCUCAACCGGCCUCCUGACUAUCAGAGUCAGAGUAUUUUUCUUUAAGGAGGACGUACACUGUCUGCACAAGCCUCCGUGUUUUAUCGCAGUUAGAAACAAAACAACAGCAACAACAACACAGAGAACAAACCGAACAAAUCCAAAAACCCUCUAAAGCGCUUGGAUUCUUGGGUCAAGAAAGCAGAGAUAAUAUCCGCUAGCUUCUAACCACCAUCUUGACAGGGUUUUAUUGUGUCUCAGACAGGACCCCACUCCGGGGCCCUCCCGCAAGCAUGGCAGAUGAACAGGAAACAGGCAGGUUCUCUUCCUCCCUUCGGUGGAUCUUCUGCUGGUGUACACAGCGAGUAAGGAAGACUCAGCAGAGGAUGAAACCUUUUUUAAGCGUGUCUAGCCUCGGGGGCAGCCACUGAAGUCCACUCCACAGUAGACCCAGAGGAAGAAUGCAAAGACUAGCAACUACAGUUGCAGAACCCUGGGCCAGCAUACCAGAGAGGGAGAAACUGUCCACGGUCUCUGGUUCCCCUUUGUUUCACAUGGUUGGUAUUGUUUACGAUGCCUGCCUUUAUUUCAUAAUGUGUUUACCAUGCCUCAGCAUGAGGCCAAUGCCUUUGUCAUGGACUUGAUGAAGGAGGAGAGGUCGGGACGUUUCCACACAGGUAGUGGGACUGACUCCUGAGACUAAAGUCUUACUUCUUCAUGUUAUUUUUUUUUCAAAUGAUGCUUAUAGAAUUUUAAGCUUCCAUCUGUUAUCAAAUUCUAUGCAAAAUUGAUUUUUGGAUUAGAUUUUAGUGAGGUCUUUUUUUUUUUUGCCCCCAUUUUCAAUUAUAAUUAAAUCCUCCAUAGUCAUCAAGGGUUGAGUGGAACUGGUGUUGGCGAACUCCAACUGAGCGUCAGUAACUCAGUGUGAACAAGGUUAGUGAACCAUGUUAAAGGGACAGUAUUGCCUUUUCAUUCUCACUUCAAUGAAACUCAACUUAUAAUAAAUAAAUUUGCAUAUUGAUACUGCAGAUGAAAUCCAGAAAUCGCACACACUCACACACACACACACACACACACACACACACACACACACACACACACACACGUUUCACAAACUGGAAAUAUAAACCGUUUUCACUUCUCUGAGAACAUUUCUAGGCACAGCAGCUGCCAACUUCCUGAAGUGGGUUCUCACAGCCUGCCCAUGGUGACUUGGCUGCAGCCAACAAGUGUGGACUUUACACAUGGACACUGACUGCAAGACAGAACUGAGAUCUAAAAAGAAAUGAAUCACACUUAGGGACGUUUCCAGCUUUUGUUUCUCGACUUUUAUUGACGCUGAGACACAAACGAUGAAGGUAAAAAAAAAAAAUCAAGUCGUUAUCUGUAAAUAAGUUUAGCUGGUUUAAAAGUGAUUCUGGCUCCCUAAAUUUAACUGAAAAAACACAUAUAUAUCUCUUUGAAAGAUGCAAAAUAUAAAAAAGUAUAUAUGCUUAAUUGCAAGCUUGAUUGAGGAAAAAAAUUUUUAUCAUUAAACUUUUGUUAAAAAGAAAAAGUGUCUGUAAAAGAUAUUGUGACAUCCAACCAUGAACUUGAGUCCCUGGAAAUGCUACAUGGGCCUUCUUCUGAUAGUUUUAUGCGGUGCAAAUUGCAAAAUAAUUCUAAGCCUUAAGAGUGACUAGAAUUAGUUUCCUAGGAAGGGUAGAGGAGAGUCCUCAUGUAUCUAGCAGGCCACCACACUAAAAGACAUCUAGUUAAUAGCACUGUCAGACAAAUACCCAGAUCCUAAUGAUCAAAGUAAUUAAUAUUCUACAACUCGUUCUCCUGACCCAGCGUUUCAAUAAAAUAACCCAACCACUGUUCAUGUAAAUAAUAAAAAAAAGAACAAUUUCAAAAUACAUUCAGCUACCCAAACAAAAUUAAGCUAACAUCAACAAUUAUGACCCACCGGAUGACAGUGCGAAACUGGUGGGAAGGAGAAAGACACCUUCCCAGCAUUUCUUCAGAUGUAUUUACUCUUUAAAAAGUAUCCAGUUCUUCACUUGGAAAGCUUUACCCAGUGGAUUCAAUCUAAAUAGCUAACAAUUUGUUCCACUUACAACUCAUGUAAGCUCUAAAUAUGUGGGUUUUUUUUGGGGGGGGAGGGGAAGUUAUGUGAGUAUGGAUGGACACGCUUGGCAAGGCACUAUUAGAUAUAUACAAAAAGCUCUCCCAGACAGCCUCUCUAAUAAGGCAGGAGAUGAAUAAUAACCGCACGACACAGAAUAUGUUUACUUAGUAGACACACCGUACUGAGGAGCGUUCUAAUGAAUAAGAAAUGUUUUAUUUCCCGGGUCUGAGACACACAGCCAAAUCACGAAGAAUCAAAGCAAAACUCAAAGUAUUAGGUAACAAUCAGUAAACUUGGGCAGGAUUCUUUUUCCCUCUCAAGUUUAAUUGCUCAUUGUUCCCAAGAACUAUAAA
rnacentral:sRNA from 1 species